UACGUAGGCAGCGAGCGUUGUUCGGAGUUACUGGGCGUAAAGGGUGUGUAGGCGGUUUUCUAAGUUUGGUGUGAAAUCUCCCGGCUCAACCGGGAGGGUGCGCCGAAAACUGGGAGACUAGAGUGCGGGAUGGGAGAGUAGAAUUCCUGGUGUAGCGGUGAAAUGCGUAGAUAUCAGGAGGAAUACGGGUGGGGGAGACGGCUCGUGGGACCGCCACUGACGCUGAGACACGAAAGCUAGGGGAGCAAACAGG
rnacentral:rRNA from 1 species